rnacentral:piRNA from 1 species
UUGGAGAUGGUCUGAAUUUGGUUCC